UCAGUUCAGAUUGUAGGCUGCAACUCGCCUACAUGAAGUCGGAAUUGCUAGUAAUCGCGGAUCAGCAUGCCGCGGUGAAUACGUUCCCGGGCCUUGUACACACCGCCCGUCACACCAUGAGAGCCGGUAAUACCCGAAGUCAGUAGUCCAACCUCGUGAGGACGCUGCCGAAGGUAGGAUUGGCGACUGGGGUGAAGUCGUAACAAGGUACC
rnacentral:rRNA from 1 species